GUGGAAAGUAACGAAUUACAUUUACUCACGUUACUGUAAUUGAGUACUUUUUAUGAGUAACUUGUAAUUUUCAGAGUAGUUUUUGAAAUGCGUAAUUUUUACUUUUACUCAAUUACAUUUUGACCCAAGUAUUUUACUUCGCUACAUUUGAAACCCCCUCACGUUACUGAGUACAACACUGAUAGUUUAAAAAAAAAAUUGGGCGGAAAACCACUUUGUCCCCGGGAUUGAACGUCAAUUAAGCGACAUUCCAUUGCGCGCGCUCUAGAUUCCAACGCGUAGGGAUGGCUGUUGCAGGUGAGGUGGUUACAAUGGACGAGGAGGAACAGUCAGAACGGAAAGAAGAGGAAAUACAAAACAAAAACCCUUGGCCCAACUUGGAAGAGCUCUUCGUGUUCAAACGCCAACAGGGGAACAACGUAAUAAUGCAGUGCAAAAUGUGUUUGCCCAGCAAAACGGAGCUUUCAGCCUACAAAACUUCGACGUCUAACUUGCGAAAGCAUGUGGUGGACUUCUUUAUGUGAGGCAUCAACUGGACCAGAUGGCAGAUGCUGAGGUGGAGCAGGGUGCAGGGAGCAGGCAGCAUUCAUCAGACGAGGAGGACUACUUUUCAGCAAUGAAGUCCCGCAAGUCAGAGGGUUCUGGGGAAUUGGAGGGGUAUCUGGCCUGUGCAUCAGACAGCAUGGACCUGCUCAAUUCCUUUCCAAACAUUAAGAAACUGUCGUUGAAGCUCAACACAGGCCUUCCUGCCUCAGCCGCCUGUGAGAGACUAUUUAGUUCUGCCGGGUUGCUCUUCACGGCAAAGAGAGCAAGAAUUACAGCCCAAAACUUUGAAAACCAGCUGCUGCUGAAACUAAACAAAAGCUUUACUGGUCUGAAAUUGUAGAUUGUGGGCUUCCUGGGGACAUGUUAUUGUGAAUAGUACGAUCCUGAAACCAUUUUAGUUUGAAUAGUCUGAUCCUGAAGCCAUUUUAGUUUGAAUAGGCUGAUCCUGAAGCCAUUUUAGUUUGAAUAGUCGGAUCCUGAAGCCAUUUUUAGUUUGAAUAGUCGGAUCCUACAGUAUGUGCAUUUUAUUUUGAUUUGUGAGACUUCGAAUACUGUAAUUCUUUUCUCAUAAUGUUGUUGGCUGGACAAUAGGAUUGAAACUGUUACUGAGCUCAGUCAAGGGUUUCUUUUAAGUGUGGAUGUGCACUUAUUCAACUUCGAGGCAUAUUAAACAACUUGUGCUGAACUUUA